UAUCAACUGAACAUGGCAUACACAAGAUG
rnacentral:piRNA from 1 species